GACAGAGGGUGCAAACGUUGUUCGGAAUUACUGGGCGUAAAGCGCGUGUAGGCGGCAAGCCAAGUCGGGUGUGAAAGCCCUGGGCUCAACCCAGGAAGUGCAUUCGAUACUGGUCGGCUAGAGUCCGGGAGGGGAUGGUGGAAUUCCCAGUGUAGCGGUGAAAUGCGUAGAUAUUGGGAAGAACACCGGUGGCGAAGGCGGCCAUCUGGACCGGAACUGACGCUGAGGCGCGAAAGCCAGGGGAGCGAAUGGG
rnacentral:rRNA from 1 species